rnacentral:rRNA from 1 species
UACGUAGGGUCCGAGCGCUGUCCGGAAUUAUUGGGCGUAAAGGGCUCGUAGGCGGUCCGUCACGUCGGGAGUGAAAACUCAGGGCUCAACCCUGAGCGUGCUUCCGAUACGGGCGGACUAGAGGUAUGCAGGGGAGAACGGAAUUCCUGGUGUAGCGGUGGAAUGCGCAGAUAUCAGGAGGAACACCGGUGGCGAAGGCGGUUCUCUGGGCAUUACCUGACGCUGAGGAGCGAAAGCAUGGGGAGCGAACAGG